GCACCCGUAGCUCAGUGGAUAGAGCAGCAGACUUCUAAUCUGCCGGCCGCAGGUUCGAAUCCUGCCGGGUGCGCCA
rnacentral:tRNA from 1 species